rnacentral:rRNA from 1 species
CCUGCAGGAAAGGACAUCAACCGAGACUCCGCAAGUAGUGGCGAGCGAACGCGGACCAGGCCAGUGGCAAUGAGGAAUGAAGUGGAACGAUUUGGAAAGGUCGGCCGUAGAGGGUGAUAGCCCCUUACACGUAGAACACUCAUUGUCCUUGAGUAAGGCGGGACACGAGAAAUCCUGUCUGAACAUGGGGAGACCACUCUCCAAGCCUAAGUACUCGUGCAUGACCGAUAGCGAACAAGUACCGUGAGGGAAAGGUGAAAAGCACCCCGACAAGGGGAGUGAAAUAGAACCUGAAACCGGAUGCCUACAAACAGUCGGAGCCCGCAAGGGUGACGGCGUACCUUUUGUAUAAUGGGUCAACGACUUAGUGUGACGAGCAAGCUUAAGCCGAUAGGUGAAGGCGCAGCGAAAGCGAGUCUGAACAGGGCGUUCAGUUCGUCGCAUUAGACCCGAAACCGAGUGAUCUAGCCAUGAGCAGGUUGAAGGUUGGGUAACACCAACUGGAGGACCGAACCCGCAUCUGUUGCAAUAGAUUGGGAUGACUUGUGGCUAGGGGUGAAAGGCCAAUCAAACUCGGAAAUAGCUGGUUCUCCGCGAAAUCUAUUUAGGUAGAGCGUCGACCGAAUACCCCCGGGGGUAGAGCACUGGAUGGGCUAUGGGGACUCACCGUCUUACUGAUCCUAACCAAACUCCGAAUACCGGGGAGUACUAGUCGGCAGACACACGGCGGGUGCUAACGUCCGUCGUGAAAAGGGCAACAACCCUGACCUCCAGCUAAGGUCCCCAAGUCAUGGCUAAGUGGGAAAGGAUGUGAGGAUCCCAAAACAACCAGGAUGUUGGCUUAGAAGCAGCCAUCAUUUAAAGAAAGCGUAACAGCUCACUGGUCUAAAUAAGGGUCUUUGCGCCGAAAAUGUAACGGGGCUAAAGCCAUGCACCGAAGCUGAGGAUGUGCCGCAAGGCACGUGGUAGCGGAGCGUUCCGUAAGCCUGUGAAGGGAUACCCGUGAGGGGUCCUGGAGGUAUCGGAAGUGCGAAUGUUGACAUGAGUAACGAUAAAGAGGGUGAGAGACCCUCUCGCCGAAAGACCAAGGGUUCCUGCUUAAAGUUAAUCUGAGCAGGGUUAGCCGGCCCCUAAGACGAGGCGGACACGCGUAGUCGAUGGGAACCACGUUAAUAUUCGUGGGCCUGGUGGUAGUGACGGAUCGCUUAACUUGUCUGGACUUAUUGGAUUGUCCAGGCCUGGACGCGGUCCCGGGAAAUAGCUCCACCGUAUAGACCGUACCCGAAACCGACACAGGUGGUCAGGUAGAGUAUACCAAGGCGCUUGAGAGAACUGCGUUGAAGGAACUCGGCAAAUUGCACGCGUAACUUCGGAAGAAGCGUGACCCUUUUGUACGCAAGUAUGAUGGGGUGGCACAGACCAGGGGGUAGCGACUGUUUAUCAAAAACACAGGGCUCUGCGAAGUCGCAAGACGACGUAUAGGGUCUGACGCCUGCCCGGUGCUGGAAGGUUAAGAGGAGGGGUGCAAGCUCUGAAUCGAAGCCCCAGUAAACGGCGGCCGUAACUAUAACGGUCCUAAGGUAGCGAAAUUCCUUGUCGGGUAAGUUCCGACCUGCACGAAUGGCGUAACGACUUCCCCGCUGUCUCCAACGCAGACUCAGUGAAAUUGAAUUCCCCGUGAAGAUGCGGGGUUCCUGCGGUCAGACGGAAAGACCCCGUGCACCUUUACUAUAGCUUUACACUGGCAUUCGUGUCGGCAUGUGUAGGAUAGGUGGUAGGCUUUGAAGCAGGGACGCCAGUUCCUGUGGAGCCGUCCUUGAAAUACCACCCUUAUCGUCAUGGAUGUCUAACCGCGGUCCGUCAUCCGGAUCCGGGACAGUGUAU